rnacentral:rRNA from 1 species
GAUCUUGGUCAGGACGAACGCUGGCGGCAUGCCUAACACAUGCAAGUCGAACGGGGGUAGCAAUACCCUAGUGGCGAACGGGUGAGUAACACAUAAGCAAUCUGCCCUUCGACAGGGGGAUAACGAGCGGGAAACUGCUGGCUAAUACCGCAUAAGACCACAGUACCGCAUGGUACAGGGGUAAAAACGAAUCGAGUGGUGAAGGAUGAGCGUUAUGUCCCAUUAGCUAGUUGGUGAGAUAACAGCCCACCAAGGCGACGAUGGGUAGCCGACCUGAGAGGGUGAUCGGCCACACUGGAACUGAGACACGGUCCAGACUCCUACGGGAGGCAGCAGGUGGGGAAUAUUGGGCAAUGGGAAACGGAAACUCUUACCCAGCAAUGCCGCGUGAGUGAAGAAGGUCUUCGGAUUGUAAAGCUCUUUGAUUGGGGACGAAGAAAGUGACGGUACCCAAAGAACAAGCCCCGGCUAACUACGUGCCAGCCGCCGC